rnacentral:rRNA from 1 species
GAUGAACGCUGGCGGCGUGCCUAAUACAUGCAAGUCGAGCGAACAGACGAGGAGCUUGCUCCUCUGACGUUAGCGGCGGACGGGUGAGUAACACGUGGAUAACCUACCUAUAAGACUGGGAUAACUUCGGGAAACCGGAGCUAAUACCGGAUAAUAUAUUGAACCGCAUGGUUCAAUAGUGAAAGACGGUUUUGCUGUCACUUAUAGAUGGAUCCGCGCCGCAUUAGCUAGUUGGUAAGGUAACGGCUUACCAAGGCAACGAUGCGUAGCCGACCUGAGAGGGUGAUCGGCCACACUGGAACUGAGACACGGUCCAGACUCCUACGGGAGGCAGCAGUAGGGAAUCUUCCGCUAUGGGCGAAAGCCUGACGGAGCAACGCCGCGUGAGUGAUGAAGGUCUUCGGAUCGUAAAACUCUGUUAUUAGGGAAGAACAAAUGUGUAAGUAACUAUGCACGUCUUGACGGUACCUAAUCAGAAAGCCACGGCUAACUACGU